rnacentral:lncRNA from 1 species
CUUCCGGACAUGCUCUGGAGUCAGAAGACAGCGAAAAGAGAAGCAGAAGCCCCGGUGGCAAGAGUCUGAAGCUGGAAAGGAGGAGAACAUGAAACAUUGCUUGAAGACAAUGGCCGAGACAGCAGGUCCCACCCUGCACAGCCACCAGCAUCUCUCCCCUCAGCCCUGUCUCCUCUUCUGCAGUUGGGAUCUGCACAUUUAAGCCUGAAAUUGUCCUGUGAAGUGAAGUAUGAUCGGACAGCCUCUUUUCAGCUUUUAUGACAAUGGAGACAGAGGAAUUGUGGCUCUUGCCAAGGUCACAGGAUUGGAAUACAGAGCCAAGCCACCCCAGGACAUGCAAGAGCCUCAGAAGGGAAAAAAGCCCAGCAGGAAGGGAGAACAAGUAGCCUCUGUCCUGAAGUUGUAACAGCCAGGGGCCAGGAUGGAGGAGGAGGACCCCAUAAUCUGCCCAUCUGGGACUUGGCAGGGGACCUGGGAAAAUGUACCCCAACCCAUCCCUUAAGGGCCUUUGUCUUUGGCCCAUUGGCCUAGCAUCUACUUCUUCACCGUGUCUGUUCUUGUCACACCUAGUCAGGUCUGUUUGGGUCUGAGGUGCAUGGAACAUUCUGGGUAGGCCUCCAGCAAACGGAAGCUCUUCACCGUGUUUCCAGCCUGGGACCAAGGGCAGCAUACUGGCAAAGUUGCCAAAGCAAGGGACUCCAGCCUCUUAGGAGUUAAUGACUCCCUCUCCCCAGCUGUCCUCCCCUUGGUGCUCCUCUUCCUCCCUCCUCCUGCUCACAGCAGGCAGGGCCUAGACCCGGGAGCCAUGCUGCUGUGCUGUUGCCAGGGGAGCACGGAGGCAGAUCUGAGCUAUGCAGGGAAAAGGCCCAGCCUGUCAAAGUGUCUGAGAUGAACCGCCGCCGUCCCUGUGCAGCUGGGCUCAGACGUGUCUCAGCUCUUGUUCUGUGCCUGAGAAUGGCGAAACCCAGUGAGGUUCAAGGGCAAACUCGCUAUUCAUUAGUCAGGGGUUCUUGACGUCCCGUCUCUCCCAGGGAUGAGUUCCCCCCUCCUCUUUCUCCCCCUCCUAUGACACAUUCCUGGGUGCCUUUGGUGAGGACUGCACACCCUCCUCCUGCCUAGCCCCCUCUCCAAAGGCCCCUGAAUAAACUCCCCCCAAGGAGACCAGGCAGGGCAGAGACAAUGGCUGCAGGAAAUCAUUCAGGCGGGACAUGCUGGCCUGCCCUCCACCCAGUCCCCCUGUGGGCCCCACUCCCUUCUGAUUCAGGGCACCCUUGGGCCCCCAGCCUAUACAGGCCUGGACAGGAAGAAACCACUGGGAACCACCCUAAGGACAACAUGCUAGUCCAGUGCCAUUCUUCGCUGGCUCUGUGGGUGCCUUUGUGGCCUGUACCGACUGGCUGGCUAAUUUUGUGGUUUCUGUACCAUCACAUGCCUAUUUUAAGACACUCUCCAGCACUGUCGGUUAGGGAGUGUAAAUUUUGCAAUAUUUUCUGAAAUGUGGCAAUAUCAAAAUGUAAAAGGCACACAUACUUGGUCACAAACAAAUGGCACUAUUUACUCUGUGGGCAUAUUUGUAAAAGUUGCCAAAGAAUUAUAUACAAGGAUGUUCAUCAGAGCAUUUCUUUUGAAGAGUAAAGAAAUGGACAUGAACCUGUGGUCCGUUCAUACGGUGGAAUACCUAUGCAGCUGUAAAAAUCAGUGUGGUAGAUCUCCGUAUAUGAGUUGAUGUGGAAGGUUGGCCAGUUCACAUGAUAAGGUGAAUAGAAUAAGUUACAGAACAGGCUGUAGAGUAUGAUCUUAUUUGUAGAUGUUUAAAACUGAGUCAUAAGUAUGCUUAUAUACAGAUCGUUUCUGGAAGUAUGUACUGGAAGUCUACCUCUGGGGAGUGGGGAUGGGGGAGUGCACUCUUCUAUACUGUUAUAUUUUCUUUUCAUGCUCCUAAGGUACUUUUAUUGGAAGAUGUAAAGCGGUUCAAUGUAAUAGGCUUAACUUCUGUCAACUAAGUUGGCGUGGGUGCUUUAAGAGGGUGGUAGUGAUGUUGCUGGAGAAAGUAUCCCACAGUCACUGGUGGCUUCAGCCACGGGCCAUUUUGGGGCCUAAUAAUCACAUAUCAUCAUGGUUGCUAGUGUUAAUCGAAAACCUACUAAGUGCCAGGCUUACUGUCUCUGGGUCUUGCUUACGUGGAUGUCAUUUUUCCAGUUGCACCAAAUCGAAAGAGGUUAAUUGGUUUGUUGGAGUUCCUUUGUAGGUGAAGGGCAGAGCCAGGAGCUUGGCUAGGGACAGGGGAGGUGAGUGGGGGAUGGUGGAUAGGUCUUGGCUCCCAGUUUCCUUCUGGGCAGACAUUGCCCCUCUGCCCUGAGGACCUGCUUGUUUGGGGGAAGAGGCCUUUAGAGGCACCAGGGUCAUGCCAGGUGUUGGACAUGGUGAACUGGGAAGUGCUCCCAUCUGGCCACAGCGCAGAAGUAUCACCGUGCUGGGGGAUGGGGAACAGGGCUGUGAAUGGGCCUAUUUGCAUAAGCAGCAUGUGUCUGGAGAGAAAGACAUCACAGAGCAGAAGAGUGCGGGUGCCCAGGAGUGCACUUGCCACCCCUACUUCAUCCCUGAAAGAGUAAAUGGCCUGGAAGGUGUCUCUGAGAGGUAAUGCCGCACACCACCCUCCCUGGGGGCAGGGUCAGGCUACACCUGCCUUAGGUCGGGGGCUGCAGCAGCCUGAGAGCUCUCAGUAGGGCCUCAGUAGCCUGGGAGGGAGCAGGGGCAGGGGGCAGGGAAAGAGGCGUAAUGGGGCUGUCCAGAGGGGCCUGGGAAACCUGGUCCCUGAGGCCUGGGCACAGCUACAAUCACUUCAAAUUGGCUGUGGGGCCAGUGGACUGGGAAGGAAAAAAGCAAUAAGAGUGACCAAGUGCAGAAGGCUGUCAGGUCCCAGGUCACAUGCCUUAGUGCAGUGACUCCUCAUCAUUUUAUGGGGUGUGGGUGUCGUUGGUACACCCAUUUUACAGAUGAGGACACCGAGGCCCAGAAAAGUUAAGUUACAUGUCCUAAGUCACACAGCUUGUAAGUGCCAGAACUGAGAUCAAAACCAAGUCUCUUUGACUUUAAAGUCUGUACUCUGACCCCAAAGAGAUCCUGUUUGGCCACUUAUAGGAGGUCCCUAAAGCUGCAGACUCCCCUUGCCGGCACCCACAUAUAGAGACAUUAACCCUUCCCCUGCAGGGUCACCUCAAAUAGUCUUUUAGCUGGGCUUCUCCUGCAAUUCCACCUAAUGCCAUCCCCUGGGUUUUGCCCAAACCUGAACUGGGCAGUGGGGUGAGAGGAGGGGUUUACAGGGUUACAGAGCCUCAUACAGAUAGGAGCCCAUGGCUGCUGGUCAUCUGCAUUCCUGCAGGAUUGGCUGUUCCUUGGGGUCCUUGGCAGGAAAAUGAGGAUUGCUCCGAGGCCUGCUCCAGUACUUCCCAGAGGCUGGCCUGGUGUGGGGCUCUGGGAAGGCUGAGGCUGGAGAAGCGUAAGUAGGAGGGCAGAGAUGGCACUCAGGUAGCUUGAAUCACCAGGACCCUUCCAAGCCCCACAGGUUCUGAGGGAGUACUAGGGCCAGCUCUGGGAGAGGUCUCUUCCUAUGCUGUGAACCCCCUGCCUUUCUUGCAGCCUACAACGAAUAAAUUUUCUUUGCAAAGGC